rnacentral:RNase_P_RNA from 2 species
GGCACAGACCGCCUUAUCGUCGUCUCGUCUUUUGGCACGAGAGGGAGGAAAGUCCGGACACCAUAGGGAAGCAUAGCGGGUAAUACCCGUCGGUUUUGUCUGAAAGGAUGAGAUUAGGACAAGUGCAACAGAAAGUAUGUACAGGUAAUGCUGUAGUGAAACCAGGUAAACUCUAUGCGGUGAAAUAUCAAGUAUAUCAGCAUUUAAGGGCUUCUCGUCCGUUGUUGAAGGGUAGAUAGCUUGAGUCCCACAGUAAUGUGGGAUCUAGAUAAAUGAUAAGGGUUCAUCUUCGGGUGGAUACAGAAUCCGGCUUAUAGGUCUGUUUUUUUU